rnacentral:miRNA from 1 species
UAACGAUAAUGAUGAUGAUGAUGAUGAUGAUGAUGAUGAUGAUUAGUGCUAAGGACUUCAUUCCUUACAUUCUCUCGAUCAUCACCUAUCAACAACAUCAGUC